rnacentral:rRNA from 1 species
GACGAACGCUGGCGGCGUGCUUAACACAUGCAAGUCGAACGAAGAGCGAUGGAAGCUUGCUUCUAUCAAUCUUAGUGGCGAACGGGUGAGUAACGCGUAAUCAACCUGCCCUUCAGAGGGGGACAACAGUUGGAAACGACUGCUAAUACCGCAUACGAUCUAAUCUCGGCAUCGAGGAUAGAUGAAAGGUGGCCUCUACAUGUAAGCUAUCACUGAAGGAGGGGAUUGCGUCUGAUUAGCUAGUUGGAGGGGUAACGGCCCACCAAGGCGAUGAUCAGUAGCCGGUCUGAGAGGAUGAACGGCCACAUUGGGACUGAGACACGGCCCAGACUCCUACGGGAGGCAGCAGUGGGGAAUCUUCCGCAAUGGAUGAAAGUCUGACGGAGCAACGCCGCGUGAGUGAUGACGGCCUUCGGGUUGUAAAGCUCUGUUAAUCGGGACGAAAGGCCUUCUUGCGAAUAGUGAGAAGGAUUGACGGUACCGGAAUAGAAAGCCACGGCUAACUACGUG